rnacentral:rRNA from 1 species
UACGUAGGUGGCAAGCGUUGUUCGGAAUUAUUGGGCGUAAAGGGCGCGUAGGCGGUUUGUUAAGUCGGCUGUGAAAGCCUGGGGCUCAACCCCAGAGGGUCGGCCGAUACUGGCAAACUAGAGUACGGAAGAGGUAGCUGGAAUUCCCGGUGUAGCGGUGAAAUGCGUAGAUAUCGGGAGGAACAUCAGUGGCGAAGGCGGCUAUCUGGUCUAACACUGACACUGAGACACGAAAGCGUGGGGAGCAAACAGG